CAAUAGCGUAUAUUAAAGUUGUUGCAGUUAAAAAGCUCGUAGUUGGAUUUCGGGGUGGCCUGCCUGGUCCACCGCAAGGUGAGUACUGGUCAGCCGCCCUUCCUCUCGAAAGCCCAGACUGCUCUUCAUUGCAGUGGUCGGGUAGUUCGGGACGUUUACUUUGAAAAAAUUAGAGUGUUCAAGGCAGGCUCUCGCCUGAAUACAUUAGCAUGGAAUAAUGGAAGAGGACCUCGGUCCUAUUUUGUUGGUUUCUAGGGCCGAAGUAAUGAUUAAGAGGGACAGUUGGGGGCAUUCGUAUUUAAUUGUCAGAGGUGAAAUUCUUGGAUUUAUGAAAGACGAACUAGUGCGAAAGCAUUUGCCAAGGAUGUUUUCAUUAA
rnacentral:rRNA from 1 species